rnacentral:lncRNA from 1 species
GUACCGCACUACAUGCGAAGCAUCCGUGACAGACCGGCACUUUCUUCUGAGCGGAGGAGCUGGGAGAGAAGUCAGAUUUGGACUCCUGGGGCAGCAUGGAACUCUGUGAGGCACUGGACCCGCUGCUGAAACUUAAGUUGCUCCUCCGGAUUCAAGGCUCAGCCAUAGACCAUCAGAGCGAACAGUUCAUCAGGGUAGUUGAUUGGUUGGGCUAUUCUGUAACCAUCUUUCAGAUUGGCAUUGUUCAAAUUCGAAGUUGCUAUUUAAGCUUGAGGGUGCAUCCUAUGGGCCAAAUCCAAGACCAACCCACAGGGUAUGGUCCAAAUGGGCUCGCUGAUCCUGCUUGCUUCUCCCCAGGGCUCCAGACUCAGGCUGAUGUUCCUACUAUGCAUUUCCAUGCUGAUCUAUACAGCAUCUUACUCAUCAGUGUCGCUUCUGUUCAAACCAUUCCAGAGGUUGGAUUUCCCUACAGUAUCAGAAUCAGAAUGCUUGGGCUGGUUGCAAGAGUAUUUAUAAGCUACCUAUACGCUGGC